GUGUUCCCUUUGGCAGCACAUCCACUGAAACUGGAAUGCUACAGAGGAGAUUAGUGUGGCCCAUGGAUAAGGACGACACAAAUUCUUGACGUGUUUCCUAUUUUU
rnacentral:snRNA from 1 species